rnacentral:misc_RNA from 1 species
GAUGAAGAACGUAGCGAAAUGCGAUAAGUAAUGUGAAUUGCAGAAUUCAGUGAAUCAUCGAAUCUUUGAACGCACAUUGCGCCCCCAGGUAUUCCGGGGGGCAUGCCUGUUCGAGCGUCAUUUCACCACUCAAGCCUCGCUUGGUAUUGGGCAUCGCGGUCCGCCGCGUGCCUCAAAUCGACCGGCUGGGUCUUCUGUCCCCUAAGCGUUGUGGAAACUAUUCGCUAAAGGGUGUUCGGGAGGCUACGCCGUAAAACAACCCCAUUUCUAAGGUUGACCUCGGAUCAGGUAGGGAUACCCGCUGAACUUAAGCAUAUCAAUAAGCGGAGGA